AACGAACGCUGGCGGCAGGCUUAACACAUGCAAGUCGAGCGCCUCGCAAGAGGAGCGGCAGACGGGUGAGUAACGCGUGGGAAUCUACCGUGCCCUAAGGAAUAGCUCCGGGAAACUGGAAUUAAUACCUUAUACGCCCUUCGGGGGAAAGAUUUAUCAGGGUAUGAUGAGCCCGCGUUGGAUUAGCUAGUUGGUGGGGU
rnacentral:rRNA from 1 species